rnacentral:rRNA from 1 species
CACGUAGGGCGCAAGCGUUGUCCGGAAUUAUUGGGCGUAAAGAGCGUGUAGGCGGCCCGAUUAGUCCGCUGUGAAAGUUCAGGGCUCAACCCUGGAAUGCCGGUGGAUACUGUCGGGCUAGAGUCCGGAAGGGGCGAGUGGAAUUCCUGGUGUAGCGGUGAAAUGCGCAGAUAUCAGGAGGAACACCAAUGGCGAAGGCAGCUCGCUGGGACGUGACUGACGCUGAGACGCGAAAGCGUGGGGAGCGAACAGG